rnacentral:rRNA from 1 species
GACGAACGCUGGCGGCGCGCUUAACACAUGCAAGUCGAACGGAAAGGCCUGCUUUCCCUUGUGGAUUGCGGGUACUCGAGUGGCGAACGGGUGAGUAACACGUGAGUGAUCUGCCCCCAACUUGGGUAUAAGCCUGGGAAACUGGGUCUAAUUCCCGAUAGGACUGCAGGGUGGUGCCUGUGGUGGAAAACGAUUUUCUAGUGGUUGGGGAUGAGCUCGCGGCCUAUCAGCUUGUUGGUGGGGUAAUGGCCUACCAAGGCGGCGACGGGUAGCCGGCCUGGGAGGGUGGACGGCGACAUUGGGACUGGGAUACGGCCCAGACUCCUACGGGAGGCAGCAGUGGGGAAUAUUGCACAAUGGGCGGGAGCCUGAUGCAGCGACGCCGCGUGGGGGAUGACGGCCUUCGGGUUGUAAACUCCUUUCGACCGCGAGGAAGCCACCUGGUUGGAAGGGUGGUGACGGUAGUGGUAGAAGAAGCACCGGCUAACUACGUG